rnacentral:lncRNA from 1 species
GAAACUCGAAAGUAAAAGCUAUGAAUAUGACUAUGGAGUCUUUAGGCGUCCCCUUCGUCGUCUUCCCGCGGAACGGGCUCGAGAACAAUAUCUUCCUGAUCUGAAAUGAUUAAAUAAGGAAUGAGCUACACUAGCCCAGUAAAGACAUCACGAUAUCUCACCGUCAUGGAGGUAAAGGUGGGUAGAAAACACAAAAAGACCAAUGGAGCAC